rnacentral:rRNA from 1 species
UACGAAGGGGGCUAGCGUUGUUCGGGAUCACUGGGCGUAAAGGGCGCGUAGGCGGCCUGAUAAGUCGGGGGUGAAAGCCUGUGGCUCAACCACAGAAUUGCCUUCGAUACUGUCGGGCUUGAGACCGGAAGAGGUUAGUGGAACUGCGAGUGUAGAGGUGAAAUUCGUAGAUAUUCGCAAGAACACCAGUGGCGAAGGCGGCUGACUGGUCCGGUUCUGACGCUGAGGCGCGAAAGCGUGGGGAGCAAACAGG